rnacentral:miRNA from 1 species
GGACCAUUAUUUUGGGACGGAGG